GGUUAGAAAAUUUUUCGUCGAUGCUUUCGUACAUGAUCACUGUUAUUAUCGCUUAUCGUUCACUUACGCGAUCACGACGAACAAUACGGGAUGUUAUAACGUGAUAUUAUGCUAAUCUCACCAUUAUUUGCGUACAAAAAUGUACAAAUAAUAUGAAUAAUGUGUUAUAAAAAUUCCGACGUGGUCCUCUCUCGGUGACACGAAAUUUUACUGAAUGUGCAGAAGACUACUGCGCAUCAGGUUGAAGUUGAACGCUCUGCGCAUGGGAACGCGCAGGAAAUUCGCGGGAUACGUCGUCGAGACGGGACAGCAUCAGUAUUGGUACGUAAUUUUUGAUCGAAAUAAUUCAAUUAAUUGAAGUAUGUGGACAUUUCGUGAUUUAUUUUGUGAUUCUUUUAGUGAUACGUGAUACAGAGACUCAGAAUCGUGAUAAAGUUUCGGAAUAUAACGUCGGAAAAGGACAAUACGUGUUCGUGAAUCAUCGUUCUCUGCGAAGAGCUCGAAUAGAAGAAUUGCGUCAUUCGCGUUCGAACGAAAAUAAAUAGAAGAAAGGUCAGGAGCAGCUUAAUUGUGGCGUAUAUUUUCAUUGCCUGGGGCUUCGAUUCUUCGUAAUACGAAUACAACGUACAGAUCCUCCUCUCACAAAAAUCGAACAAAGGAAAGAAGAAAAGAAAACCCUCGUAUCGUCAUACUUUGGCUGGCAACCCCUCGCGUUUCAACGCAUCGAGCGCACGCAGAAGAAAUCGUCCCUUCCUCUUCCGUCCCGCUUCGCCGUCGGUUGGCAAUCGCUCAUUCGGGAUCACGAAGCUGAUUGAGAUCGCCAGAGAUCAUUUACCGGUCGACCUGUUCCGGGCCUGGACUAAUCAGAUCAAUCAGAUGGAAUGAUCGCGAAAUGAGUUCGGGAUCAUUAUCCUCCACGAAGAAUGCUUUCUCCUUCGAUCUUUCGCGUUUGUCUUGCUCGUGACGGGUCCCCCUUGAUCGGAAAUCGAAUCGUGAAAUCGAUCCAUUCUGCUGCGCGAGCAAUUCACUUGGUCAUCUCGGUCAUCGUUGCAAAAGGGAAUUAUUAUCGGUGCUAUGUAUAUAU